AGAACGUUGAUAGGAAAGAAAAAAUAGUGAAAGGAAGAGAGGAGAGAAUUAAGUAUAGGAAGGCAUGUUCACUUAUAAAGAGAAAGUUACAUCAAUUGGGCUGUACAUGUGAAAGAAAGAACAAUG